GGCUGGUUCGAUGGUAGUGGGUUAUCAGAACUUAUUAAUGUUAAUGUCACAAAAGUUGGUGUUAACCCCCCACUGCUAAAAUCUGACUGGCUAAAA
ensembl:misc_RNA Y_RNA Y RNA